AAAAUAUAUUAAAUAGUUAAAUAUUUGUUAUUUCCACCUGCAAACAAGUGUGUGUGUGUGUGUGUGAGUGAGUGUGUGAAUGAGUGUCUGCAUGUGAGUGUGUGUGUAAAGAUGUGUGUGCUGUUGUGUGUGCAUGUGAGAGAGUGUGUGUGUGUGUGAGAGUGAAUGAGUGUGUGUGUGUGAGAGAGAGUGAAUGAGAGUGUGUGUCGUAGUGUGUGUGUGUGUGUGUGUGUGAAUGAGUAAGUGUGUGUGCAUGUGAGAGAGAGUGUGUGUGCGUGUGUGUGUGUGUGU